GGCUAAUGCUGUUGGCCUUGCCCUGGUGAUUCCGAGACCACCCCACCCAAUUUGUGGGCCCAUCCAGGCUAUAUCCAAUGGCUUUUCCAUACAAAUGGCCUGUCUUGGCUCAUGCUGUGGGCUUUCCUAAAAUCUCUCGAGUCCACAAACCCUAAACAAGCAGCACCUUGCCUUGGUGUGCCCCGGACCUCUUGCUAAGCAGCCCCAAACAGCACCAGCGGCAGCCGCGCUGCGCUCCAUUAGAACAGUGGUUCUCAACCUUCCUAAUGCCACGACCCUUUAACACAGUUCCUCAUGUUGUGACCCCCAAUUUCAUUGUUACAAAUUGAACAUAAUUAAAGCAUAGUGAUUAAUCACAAAAACAAUAUGUAAUUAUGUGUUUUCCGAUGGUCUUAGGCGACCGCUGUGAAAGGGUCGUUCGACACCCAAAGGGGUCGCGACCCACAGGUUGAGAACCGCUGCGUUAGAAGCUUAGCCUCUCCCAGACACCUUCAAGCCCAGUGCAGGUGCUAACCAUUGCAGGUCACUUUGUAGCUCAUACCAGGUGGCCCAGGCAGGGCACAGGUGGCAGGUGAUCUAGGCCUGACCUCUCAAGAGGCCUCAGAACCAAAAACCCAGUGGCCGCUUCAGACCAGGCCAGAGCACCACCCAGCCACCUCCCCAAGUGACACCCUCAAAGGGCAGACUCAGCGGGCAGCAGGGCCCCUCAGAAGCAAAUCCUGUGCUCCAUAGGGUCAGGCCCUGCACAGCAGCUCCUCCACUGUGGUCACAGCCAGUCCUCACAGCCAAUCAGCCUGCGGGUCAAUCCCUCACAACCAAUCAGCCUGAGGGUCAAUCCCUCACAACCAAUCAGCAUGAGGUCAGUCCCCCCAGUGAAGUGCCAACAUCAAUAAGGCUCAAUUACAACAGGAGGGCACACCACACACAAGGGACUCUCCUUGAGAACCCAGAUCAGGUGACCAUGAGACUGUGCCACUGGCCCCCACAGGACAUCUACUAUGUAAAGCCACUUUACCAAGACUGGGAGACGUAGAAAAAAAAUAGAAUCCAAAAGACAUGAGGAUAGUUUAAGGGGCUUCUGGGACAACAUCAAGCUUACCAACUUUUGCAGCAUAGGGAGGUCAGAAGAGAGAACAAGGGGUUGAAAACCUAUAUGAAAACUAUGGCAGUAUCUGAUGCCUCAUCAAAAUUUUACUGAUUUACUCAUAUCAGAAUCAACUUCCUAUCCAAUGGGUUGCAACAUGUCAUUGUCAUUUUUUUUCUGUUUUGGAUUCUGAAGUUGUCCCUUGGAAUUGGCCAGUUGGAGUCUGAGUUGGCUCCAGUCUCCUCCUCACAUGUUCCUUUUAUUCUCUGAACAUUGCGUUAUUUUAUAGCUCGGAGAGAUGUAUCAGGCUCAUCUUGUACUUCUCUUGCCCUAGCCACUGAAUCAAUCAUUUCUCCAAGGCCUGCUGGUUCUAAUUUCAUGGAACAUGAAAUUUAGAAAUCAAGAUCUGGACAAAUUCAGUGCAGGAAGAAAGAGAAGGUGUGACACGGGAAAGGUCUCCUCGCUUCUCCUUUUUGAAAUCAUACAGUGUCAGGAUUCGUGUAUUCGCCUGACUUAGCUAACAUCCUUUUUAUUUAAAUUUUCCAUAAAAUAAAGAAAAUGGAAAAGAAGGAUCUCUAGUAUGAUAUUGACUAGAAGUGACAAGAGGGACAAUGCUGCUCUAAUCCCAGUAUCAAGGAGAAAUCUUUCAAUAAGUGACAACUAAAUAUGAUAUAGAUGCCCUUCACUAAAUUAAGGAAGUUUCCUUCUAUUCCUAGAGUCUAAGAGUGUCUACCAUUAAUGGAUAUUGAAAUUGUUUGGCAUCUGCAGAGAAGAUAUAAAAGGAAGGAAAUCCACAUGAUUUUUCUCUCCUUUUUCCUUAUUGUGAUAAAUGCAUUGAUCAAGUUUUGAAUUUGAAAGCCCAUUUGGUCAUGAUGUACUAUUCUUUUUAUGUAUUGCUGGAUUUCGUUGGAUAAUAUUUUGUUUAAAAUUUCUCAUCUAUUUUCAUAAGAUAAAUUUGCCUGUAAUUUUCCUUUUUCUAAUGCUCUUAUCAGGUUUUUCUAUCAAAGUUUAAUUGCAUCAUAAAACGAGUUGGGAAGUGUUCCUUUUUUCCUAUUCUCUAGGAGAGUUUUUAUAAUAUUGGUUUUAUUGCUUCCUUAAAUGUUGAGAGAAUUCACAAGUGAAACCAUCUGGGCUUGGCGUUUUCUUUGUGGGGAGGUUAUUUAAUAACUAAUUCAAUUCCUUAAUAAGAAAAGGACUAUUUUGAUUUUCCCUUUAUUCUUGUGUUAUUGUUGGUAAGGGGUGUCUUUCAAGAAAUGUGUACAUUCUAUUUUAGUAAUUAUUGACAAUUUAAACGUGUUAAAUUUUCAGAUUUAUUGGCACAUAAUUAUAAUUUUCUUUGAUUCAAUUUGAAUAUCUGUACAAAAUGUAGUGAUGGCCCCUUUUGUCAGAAGGCUAAUUUUCUCUCUCUCUCUCUCUCUCUCUCUCUCUCUCUCUCUCUCUCUCUGUCUGUCUUGUUAGUCUUGCUAAUUUUCCUUUUGAAAUAACCAACUUUCUGCUUCAUUAAUCCUUUGAUCGCACACUUGUUUUCAAGUCUCAUUAAGUGCUGCUUAUUAUUUCCUACCUUUUUCUUUGGGUUCUACUUGUUGAAAUCUGUCUAUUUCUUUAAAAUAGAUAUUAAAUUACUGGCUAAGCCUUUCUGCUUUUCAAUAUAUGUGUUUAUACUACAUGCUUCCCUCUGUGCAUGGCUUUAGCUACAUUCCACAAGUUGUCAUAUUUUAAUUACCAUUUAAUUUAAAUUGUUUUUUAAUUUCCACAUUAUUCUUGAUUCAUAAGUUAGAAGGAAGUAUGUUCCUCAUUUUUGACACAUUUAGAGAUUUUUCUGGCCAUCUUUUCUUUUUUGUCACUCCAAGCCCAUGGUGGUCAGAGACUAUAUUGCAUGAUGUCAGCUUUUGAAACUGAUUGAGGCUUGCCUGAAGGCCCGGCAUUCUGUUGAUUUUAGUAAAUGUCCCUCGUGCACUUAACAUCAAGUGUGUAUAUUAUUAUUAUAGUUUGUCAAAUAGAUCAAGUUUCUUAAUCGUCUUUUUCAAACGCCCUGUAUUGUUACCUACUUUUUUGGUCUCCUGUUCUAUCUUUUUUAAAAAAUUAAAUAUUUAAGUCUUUUGCUGCUA